GCAGGAUGUGGAUGUCCUGUCGGCCCUGGCCCUGCUACUGCCCCAGGGUGCCUGCACUGGCCGGACCCCGGACCCCAGCCAGCGGUGCGGGUGGGGUGGCCAAUGGCACUGGGGCAGGGACAGUCGUGGGCCCCAACGCCACCGCUGAGGAGGGCGCACCCUCUGCUGCAGCACCGGCCUCCCCGGACACGCUGCAGGGCCAGUGCUCAGCCUUCGUGCAGCUCUGGGCCGGCCUGCAGCCCAUAUUGUGUGGCAACAACCGCACCAUUGAGCCUGAGGCGCUGCGGCGGGGCAACAUGAGCUCCCUGGGUUUCACGAGCAAGGAGCAGCGGAACCUGGGCCUCCUCGUGCACCUCAUGACCAGCAACCCCAAAAUCCUGUACGCACCUGCGGGCUCUGAGGUCGACCGCGUCAUCCUCAAGGCCAAUGAGACUUUUGCCUUUGUGGGCAACGUGACUCACUAUGCCCAGGUCUGGCUCAACAUCUCGGCCGAGAUUCGCAGCUUCCUUGAGCAGGGCAGGCUGCAGCAACACCUGCACUGGCUACAGCAGGUGCCAAGGGUGCCCGCGAGGGAGGCAGCCGCAGGUGGCGCGGGGAGCCCCUCUCUGCCCGGCUCGGCAGGCCUGUAGGCCCCCCUCUGAGCUGCUCCUCUACCCCUAGUACGUAGCGGAGCUGCGGCUGCACCCUGAGGCACUGAACCUGUCGCUGGAUGAGCUGCCGCCGGCCCUGAGACAGGACAACUUCUCGCUGCCCAGUGGCAUGGCCCUCUUGCAGCAGCUGGAUACCAUUGACAACGCGGCCUGCGGCUGGAUCCAGUUCAUGUCCAAGGUGAGGUGGGGCCGCCGAGCCAACCCCCAUACCCCCUAACUCGUGCAUGACCAGGCGGCCUCCAGCGAUGCCCCUCCCCCUAGGUGAGCGUGGACAUCUUCAAGGGCUUCCCCGACGAGGAGAGCAUUGUCAACUACACGCUCAACCAGGCCUACCAGGACAAUGUCACUGUGUUUGCCAGUGAGCUGCCCUCCCCGCUCUGCCUCAGCCCCCCACAGACCUCCUCCUCCCCAGCCCAGCCCCACUUGUCCCCCUGUGC
rnacentral:lncRNA from 1 species